rnacentral:rRNA from 1 species
CAAACCAUUGCAAACUCCGAAUACCGAGACGGACUGUAUGGGAGACACACGGCGGGUGCUAACGUCCGUCGUGAAAAGGGAAACAACCCAGACCCACAGCUAAGGUCCCAAAUUUUGUGCUAAGUGGAAAACCAUGUGGAAAGGCACAGACAGCCAGGAGGUUGGCUUAGAAGCAGCCACCCUUUAAAGAAAGCGUAAUAGCUCACUGGUCGAGUCGGUCUGCGGGGAAGAUUUAACGGGGCUAAGCACAGAACCGAAGCUUGGGGUGCACAACUUUGUUGUGCGCGGUAGAGGAGCGUUCCGUAAGCCUGCGAAGGUGGAUUGAGAAGUCCGCUGGAGGUAUCGGAAGUGCGAAUGCUGACAUGAGUAACGAUAAUGCGGGUGAAAAGCCCGCACGCCGAAAGCCCAAGGUUUCCUUGCGCAACGUUAAUCGACGCAGGGUUAGUC